rnacentral:lncRNA from 1 species
AAGGAAAGGCUUGUUAGGGAAGUCACAUCUCAGCUGAGAUUUGAAAGGUAAGUUGGAGGAAGCCUAGUGAAGAAAGCUGAAGGAGGAAUGUAGAGCGUUCAGGAUAAAGCAGCAGCCCGUGGUAAGCUUAGAAUCAUCAUCCACCACGACAAGAUGCAAGAUAGGUAAUCAAUUCAGUACAUCAGAAUCACUGGCUAUGAAGAGAAGAUUCAAGCAGAGACCUGCAGGAUCAAACACUAGCUGAAUUGCUGGGGUUGCAAAGAGGAAUAAAACCGUCACCUGCUUGGAGGACGUCAAAAUCUACAAAGAAGAGGAGGUAGGUACCAGGACCUCUGCCAAGAGACAGCGACACAAUGGUGAACCAGGAAAUGG